GUAGGUAUAAUUUAAACAAAAUACUAGAUUGUGAUUCUAGAAACAGAAGUUAAACUCUUCUUACCAACC
rnacentral:tRNA from 1 species